rnacentral:rRNA from 1 species
CUAGGAGGCGUCGAGCGGCGGACGGGUGAGUAACGCGUGAGAAUCUACCCAUGAGUGGGGGACAACCCGGGGAAACUCGGGCUAAUACCGCAUACGCCCUACGGGGUAAAGCAGGGGACCUUCGGGCCUUGCGCUGAUGGAUGAGCUCGCGUCGGAUUAGCUUGUUGGUGAGGUAAAGGCUCACCAAGGCGACGAUCCGUAGCUGGUCUGAGAGGAUGAUCAGCCACACCGGGACUGAGACACGGCCCGGACUCCUACGGGAGGCAGCAGUGGGGAAUCUUGGACAAUGGGGGCAACCCUGAUCCAGCCAUGCCGCGUGUGUGAAGAAGGCCUUCGGGUUGUAAAGCACUUUCAGCAGGGAGGAAGGCUUACCCCUAAUACGGGUGAGUACUUGACGUUACCUGCAGAAGAAGCACCGGCUAAUUUCGUGCCAGCAGCCGCGGUAAUACGAAAGGUGCAAGCGUUAAUCGGAAUUACUGGGCGUAAAGCGCGCGUAGGCGGUGUGUUAAGUCGGAUGUGAAAGCCCAGGGCUCAACCUUGGAAUUGCAUCCGAUACUGGCACGCUAGAGUGCAGUAGAGGGAGGUGGAAUUUCCGGUGUAGCGGUGAAAUGCGUAGAGAUCGGAAGGAACACCAGUGGCGAAGGCGGCCU